CUCAAAGAGACUGAAGACGUGAGUUACAGAAUUUUGCAAUUGAACUUGUUUACAUGAAGCUAUAUUUCGGUUGUUGCAGCUAUCCUUUAGAUUAGCAACAUUGAAUAUGCCAAUUGAAAAAAGACUAUCCUCAAUUCUGAAAGAUGAAAAAUCGAAGUUCCGUCUUCAGUCUUCACACAGCCGUUGACGACUGUGGACACCUACUGGUUGUCAUGUGUGAUCCUGGAGCAGACAUAUGCUCUUAGUAACUCCGUCACGGAGGUUAUAUAAAGUAGUCAUGAAACUAUUACAUGCAGUAGCGAUCUUAGUUUAGAUGUGUUGUUGUAUGGACAUAUCAGUGCUUUCUACACAGGCUUUAACACUUAUAUGCUUUUGUUAGAAGCUGACAGUUGGAUACGAUUUAUAACUCUGUUAAUGUCUGACACUAAAAUGUGAGUUUCCAUACAUGAUUUGUUAUCCAUGACUGAAUGACAUUUUGCAUUUUUUCUGAAGAAUUUGUCUUAAAUCCCUCUGAAGCUAUCUAUCUCACAUAAUACCCAUAAAGUACUUUUAUUUAUUUUAUUGUCCAUUUUACAGGUUUGGAAAUAGAGCUUACAUGUGUAUUUAGUUGGCUUCUUUCAAAUGCGACUUUGAGUGAGUUACUGUGCACCUCCUAAUACUGUAGUUCUGAUCUGGUACGAAUUUGAGUUAAUUUUUAAUACAAUGCCUGUGGCAACAUUUAUAUCUAAGAUGUACUUCAUAGGGCCUUGCAGGUACCAGAUAUAGACUGUAUCUGAAAUUGUGAAUACUCUCGUGCUUUAUUUAGUUGGUUACAUUGACCAAGUGCCUGCAUGACUGAUGUUUGAUAUCACCUUACCUACUUUAUAGUAUGCUCAUCAUCAUCAUUCUGAUCUUCAUGAUUUAAACUUUGCCACGCUUGAUUGGCAUGAGUUUUUACAAAUGUGUAGUACAUUGGCAUGAAAUUUUAUUAGGCUCAUUCGCCAAUUGAUUCAUAUGGGUCAGUAUUUUAAAAUGUUAGUGAAUUUAUGGAUGAUUUUUUUUUUUGCCACUUGUUUCAUUUCUAGCCUAACAUUUCUAUUUACUGAUGGUGAUUUUGGACGCCAACAGUUAGUGGUCAUCUUUUUGCAUUUUAUUUAGAUCGUGGUUUCUGAAUCGAAUUAGAUCUAGCCUAUUUCCCUGUUUUUGGUGCUUUUAAUCUGUUUCAGAUGUAGAAUUUUAAAAGUUACGUAUAAUUAAGCAACAUUAAUUAUUCUUCUUGUUAAGGUGCUAAGAUUUGUUCUACAAAUCCAUCUAGAUUGUUCCUCCUAUUCAUGCUGCUACUAAGUCUUUACUGCUCAUCAUCAUUACUAUUUUCAGUAUAUGCCUACAUGGCACAAAAGAAUUUUCCUAUUUCCUUUGGAGUGGAUAUUUUGUCAGAUUUAACAUCAUUUAUGCAAUAAUAUAGAUACUAGAAGAUGUUGCAAUAUUCAAUAUUGGGAUCACAAGAGAAGAGAGCAGGCAGCCCAUGUGAUUGCAGAUUCAUAUGAAUAAUUGCAGUAUUGCAGUUUUCUGAACAUCUAGAGCAAUUUUCACUUUUCAGUACCACUUCUGGUACAAACUUCUUGCUUCUUUAAUGAAAACAAUCUGAGGUAAAAAUAAGAGGUGCACACCCAAACUAUAGAACUUCUGAUGGUCCCCAUAUUUUUCUUUCUUAAUUGUCUCGCAGCACACAAGGUUGGUAUUUUUUGGCCUGCUAAUUGUCCGUAUUUCGUUCUUAACAGUAAUUUUAUUGUAAUACUAUGAGAAUUCUUAGUUUAUUUAUAGUUGACGUACAACUUGUCGUAGCUGAGUUAAUGAGCAGGGUAUUUUUAAUUACUAUAGGAGAUAAAAUUCCCUAAAACUCUGUAGUAUAACAGGUUCUUGUUUGUUGCUCUUAACAGGGUUGUGUGAUUAUUUAUUUGGAGUGAAGACUCAAGUUUGAUAAUUCGUGGUGCUAAUAUCUAUAAUGGAUCAUAUGGUAGUCCUUCGUAACGUACGAGAAGAUUUUAAUCAUGGAGCCAUGCAUAUGGAACUGUAGUAGAUUGAAAGGAUGCCUCGGUUUCCCCUUCAUAAUGGUGGCUGCAUAGCUGAACAUCAUCUACGUCUCCGUUGAGGCGAGAUAAUCUUCUGUGUGGUUUGUAUGGCCUGUUACUUAUGUUUGUCUCUUAUUUUUACAAGUUAUAGUAUUCACAGUAAGCAUCUGUAGGACCUGCUGAAAGCAUAAUAGCUAGAUAUGUGUUUCUACAAGAUCAGACCUUUGGUUUUCCUGAUGAUGAUAAUCUGACAUAUAUAUGAUACUAUGGAAACACCAACAUGUAGCAGAAAUGUAUUCUCUCCUGCACAUGGUUGCUGUCCCGCUUUGUAUUUUUCUAUACGUUUCAUACAUUUCUCCCUAUUUGUAGUUAGAAAAUUGAUGAGAUUUACUUAUUUGUUUAGUUCAAAUUUAUGUUGGUUGUAUAAAUUAAAAGGAAGUGGCUGCCUUUGAGUCUGGUGGAUGCCUUGACUUUUCUUUGCUUAUUCCAUUCUUAAUUGGUGUGUUAAGCAAAGAUUGUUGCAUCAUAUAAAUAAGCUGGGUCGUUACUACUGUUUUUCUGAAUUGGUGAGAAGAUCAAUCCUGUAGUUGCUAAUUUUAGAUACUCCAUCCAAUAUAUUAAUUCUUUGGUAGAAAUGUUAUUUUAAUGCUUAUUUGCUAGAGGUUGAUCGUUCAUGAAUGGGUAUUCUGUUUUGUUUACAGGAACCUUUGUCAUCUUUAAGGAAGUUUACAUCUUUUUGUUAGGACACUAAUGAGUAAGUAUAGGGAUUUGUGAUGCUAGAAGGAACCACAAUCGAGAGAAAUCAGUGGGUUGAUUGACGUGCUAGGAAUAGACAUACAUGAGCUAUUGUAAUUUUUUUAUUAUCCUUUGAGUAGGGUGUAGUUUAUAUUAGAGUAAUAUUUGAAUGAAAAAAUGCUUAUAUGGAAUGAAGAAGGCUGAAGGCGUUUUAGAUAAUUUAUCCAUGUGAGAAACAUGCCUUAGAUUCAAAAUGGGAUGUUCUUAGAUUUUGAAUGCGAUCAUACCUUUUCUACUCAUGUU